rnacentral:rRNA from 1 species
CAGCCGCCGCGGUAAUACGAAGGGGGCUAGCGUUGCUCGGAAUGACAGGGCGUAAAGGGCGCGUAGGCGGCAUACACAGUCAGGCGUGAAAUUCCUGAGCCCAACCUGGGGGCUGCGUUUGAUACGUGUAGGCUAGAGUGGGGAAGAGGGUUGCGGAAUUCCCAGUGUAGAGGUGAAAUUCGUAGAUAUUGGGAAGAACACCGGCGGCGAAGGCGACUCUCUGGUCUGUAACUGACGCUGAGGAGCGAAAGCGUGGGGAGCGAACAGGAUUAGAUACCCGAGUAGUCCCUGUCUCUUAUAC